rnacentral:rRNA from 1 species
AUUGAACGCUGGCGGAAUGCUUUACACAUGCAAGUCGAACGGUAGAGGGGGCAACCCCUCGAGAGUGGCGAACGGGUGAGUAAUAUAUCGGAACGUGCCCAGUCGUGGGGGAUAACGUAGCGAAAGUCACGCUAAUACCGCAUACGAUCUAAGGAUGAAAGCGGGGGAUCGCAAGACCUCGCGCGAUUGGAGCGGCCGAUAUCAGAUUAGGUAGUUGGUGGGGUAAAGGCUCACCAAGCCAACGAUCUGUAGCUGGUCUGAGAGGACGACCAGCCACACUGGAACUGAGACACGGUCCAGACUCCUACGGGAGGCAGCAGUGGGGAAUUUUGGACAAUGGACGCAAGUUUGAUCCAGCCAUUCCGCGUGCAGGAUGAAGGCCCUCGGGUUGUAAACUGCUUUUGUACGGAACGAAAAGGUCUCUCUUAAUACGGGGGACUCAUGACGGUACCGUAAGAAUAAGCACCGGCUAACUACGUGCCAGCAGCCGCCGUAA